AACGAACGCUGGCGGCAUGCCUAACACAUGCAAGUCGAACGAGACCUUCGGGUCUAGUGGCGUCCGGGUUCGUAACGGGUGGGAACCUGCCCUUAGGUUCGGAAUAACUCCCAGACAGGGGUGCUAAUACCGGAUAAUGUCUUCGGACCAAAGAUUUAUCGCCUUUGGAUGGUCCCGCGUUGGAUUAGCUAGUUGGUAGGGUAAAAGCCUACCAAGGCGACGAUCCAUAGCUUGUCUGAGAGGCUGCUCAGCCACACUGGGACUGAGACGCGGCCCAGACUCCUACGGGAGGCAGCAGUGGGGAAUAUUGGACAAUGGGCGGAGGCCUGAUCCAGCAAUGCCGCGUGAGUGAUGUAGGCCUUAGGGUUGUAAAGUUCUUUUACCCGGGAUGAUAAUGACGGUACCGGGAGAAUAAGCCCCGGCUAACUACAUG
rnacentral:rRNA from 1 species